GACGAACGCUGGCGGUGUGCUUAACACAUGCAAGUCGAACGAAGUGGCGAACGGGUGAGUAACGCGUCAUCAACCUGCCCUUCAGAGGGGGACAACAGUUGGAAACGACUGCUAAUACCGCAUACUGAAGGAGGGGAUUGCGUUUGAUUAGCUAGGUGGGGGGGUAACGGCCCACGAAGGCGAUGAUCAGUAGCCGGUCCGAGGGGGUUAACGGCCACAUUGGGACGUAGACACGGGCCAGAAUCCUACGGGAGGCAGCAGGGGGGGAUCUUCCGCAAUGGAGGGAAGUCUGACGGAGCAACGCCGCGUGAGUGAUGACGGCCUUCGGGUUGUAAAGCUCUGUUAAUCGGGACGCGGUACCGGAAGAGAAAGCCACGGCUAACUACGUGCUAGCAGCCGCGGUAAUUC
rnacentral:rRNA from 1 species